UAUGAAAUAUCAAAACUGGAGAAUCAGUAGAAAGCUUCAAGGGAGAUCGACAGGCUGUACAACGUGCUGCUCAGCCAUCAGAAUGAUCCACUGGGCUAAAAUGGAAAAAGAUUAAACAAUUCCUAUUUUCUAGUGAAGAUAAUGGAUUUCCUUGUUUUCUUUAGGGAUAUGAAGUCAAUUUUCCCUGUUGGAGAUUGAAAUGCAAACCUUAGGGACUUGACCUUAAAGGCUACAAAACAAAGAUCACUUACCCACUCAGUUUUUCUUCUGCCGCUUGGACUUUCACAUCAUUAAGUUUUAGGAAACUCUGCAUGAUUUCACUCUCAAGUAAGUUGGUUUCAGACUGUAAGUUUGUGCAUCUGGUAGCUGAACCUGGCUGUACUGAAGAGGUCUGGCCAGAGGAAAAUGUUGUAGAAGUCAAAUCUGGACAUUGUCUUCCCACUGAAUGCUUUUGAGUCUUCAGCAUGCUCCAGAGCCAUUCAGGUUGAGGUGCUCUGGAGCUUGACACCUCUCCUGCAGCACACCUUCAUGGUACUCUCCUUCCCACAGCGAAGGCUGCCCACCGCUCAGCCCACUCUGUAAACAUCACGCUUAGUUCUAUAUAUGGGAUAAAGUGUGGCUCACAUUGUUAUCUCCCAUAGCACUGUAGCAAAAGGCAGGAAGAAAGACACAGUUUUGACUCAGGAGGAACAUCAAAGAAGCUUUCAAUAGUCAGCUAUGAGACCUCUUUCCUCUAGGACUGAUCAGUCUGCAUAGGUUAGAGCUGGUACCACUGGAAUCAAAAGAUUUGGCCUGCUUAAGCGAAAGAGCAGAGCAGGUUGCCUCUUCCUCAUCCU
rnacentral:lncRNA from 1 species